rnacentral:rRNA from 1 species
CCAGCUCCAAUAGCGUAUAUUUAAGUUGUUGCAGUUAAAAAGCUCGUAGUUGGAUUUUGGGUUGGAGGAUUCGGUCUGCCGUGAGGUAGAUACUGCUUCCUUCAUCCUUCUUGCCGGGGACGCGUCCUGGUCUUCAUUGGCUGGGGCGUGGAGUCGGCGAUGUUACUUUGAAAAAAUUAGAGUGUUCAAAGCAGGCCUAUGCUCUGAAUACAUUAGCAUGGAAUAACGUGAUAGGACUCUGGUCCUAUUGUGUUGGUCUUCGGGACCGGAGUAAUGAUUAAUAGGGACAGUUGGGGGCAUUCGUAUUUCAUUGUCAGAGGUGAAAUUCUUGGAUUUAUGAAAGACGAACUACUGCGAAAGCAUUUGCCAAGGAUGUUUUCA